CUGACCGAAAGUCUUUCUCUCUCUCUCUCUCCCCCUCUCUCUUUCCCUCUCCAACGUCUCUCGAUCUCCAUUUUCCACUUCGGCGUCUCUUGAUCUGGCUUCCAUUUCGGUUGCUGGUUGAAGAUGCUGAUCUCGCGGCCGUCGCCCUCCUUCUCGCUGGAACAACACGUCAAAGUCCGAGAAGGCCUGCAAGAGGAAGUACGCUAAUCUCUCGGCCGUGCCCUCCUCGCCAUAACACGCCCCUCUCUCUCUCUCUCUCUCUCUCUCUCUCUCUCUCUCUCAGGUCCAACUCAUCCGAUUCUGGAGCACCUAAUCCACGGAAGGGUGUAUGGAAGAUUUCUAGAAGCCAUAGCUGCUGCUGUCUAAACCAUUGGAGCUGUCAACAGAUGUUGAAUGAACAUUUCUCUAUGGGGAAGGUGGAUGAGUUGCAUCCUGACUUGACAGUAGACCCUCUUGGAAUCUUGCGUCCUGCAAAAAAAUUAACUCAUCAACUUCCAUUGUUCAGUGCAUACUCAUCCUUUGCAAGGAUGGUAGGAGUUGGAAUUGGUUUGGAGCAACAAAGAAGGAGAAUGGACCCCAUGACUAAUGAGCCGUAGUUCACAAACUGCACUGGAGAUUUCAUUGGCACAGUUGAUUACAUAUUUUACACAGGUUUUCUCAAAAUUUUCUGCAGCAACAGAACAACUGUUACCAACAUCAACUGAUAAACUCAGUACACAUGAGAUUGGCAUACUGAAGGAUCUCUCAAUCUUAGAUAUGGGCACUAAUGAACUUGGAUUUGGGAAAGCUCAUGACUUGAGUUUUCUUGACUCUUUGACUAAUUGCAGUAGCUUACAAGAAUGCCUUAAUAAAUAGUUCUUAUAUGCAGAGAUUGGAUGUCUUCAGAACAUUCACAAUAGCCAUAGAUGCAGUGGAUACGAACAAUUGCAAGUUGAUGAUUCUACAAGCUUGUUUUUUCUCUCAGGGACAGAUUUUCCUGGCCAAGGAAAAUGCAAAAUGAGACCGGGCUGGAAAUUGCAUCUAUAUAUUACACAGAUGCCAUGCAACUCUUACCAUUUUUUUCUUUAAAUUAUUAUUGUGGUGGUCCUGUUAAAUAUAUGAAGUUUUCAAUUGUUUUCACCACUAUGUCAAGGAGAUUUUACUAUUGUUUCUUAUUAAAGUUGCUUAUUUGUUGAUACUGUUCUAUACUUUUUCUUUUUCCUGCAAUAGGUGGGGACGCAUCAAUGACUUCACCAUUAUCGUCGUUGAGUGAUGAGCCCCAACCAAAAGAGAAUUUUCUGUCCAUGUUCUAUGCGAAAUCCCAUGUAAAUGUUGGGACUAAUGGACAUGUCGAUCAUGGGAAAACUACACUCACAGCAGCCAUUACAAAGGUAUUGGCAAAAGAAGGUAAAGCUAAGGCUGUUGCCUUUGAUGAGAUUGAUAAGACACCAGGGGAGAAAGCUCGAGGAAUUACCAUUGCAACGGUUAGGAUGCCAUUUUCUUUCUUGCAUCAUGCACAUUAUGUGUUGGGAUAUGUUUCUACCAUAAGUGCAUAGCAUGUUUUAAUGCUGUCUUUUAUUGGCAUUUUUUAUGCUCAAUAAAUACUUAUUUUAGAGAUAUUGGAAGCUUAUUUUAGGUGACAUGAUUUGUA